GAUGAACGCUGGCGGUAUGCUUAACACAUGCAAGUCGAACGGUCUCUUCGGAGAUAGUGGCGGACGGGUGAGUAACGCGUAAGAAUCUACUACAGGUUCGGGACAACAGUUAGAAAUGACUGCUAAUACCGGAUGUGCCGAGAGGUGAAAGCUUUAGUGCCUGUAGAUGAGCUUGCGUCCGAUUAGCUAGAUGGUGGGGUAACGGCCUACCAUGGCGACGAUCGGUAGCUGGUCUGAGAGGAUGACCAGUCACACUGGAACUGAGACACGGUCCAGACUCCUACGGGAGGCAGCAGUGGGGAAUUUUCCGCAAUGGGCGAAAGCCUGACGGAGCAAUACCGCGUGAGGGACGAAGGUCUGUGGAUUGUAAACCUCUUUUGUUGGGGAAGAUAAUGACGGUACCCAACGAAUAAGCAUCGGCUAACUCCGUGCCAGCAGCCGCGGUAAGACGGAGGAUGCAAGCGUUAUCCGGAAUUAUUGGGCGUAAAGCGUACGUAGGCUGUUUCAUAAGUCUGUUGUCAAAGCGCGAGGCUCAACCUUGUAAAGGCAAUGGAAACUGCGAGACUAGAGAGAGAUAGGGGCAGGAGGAAUUCCAGGUGUAGCGGUGAAAUGCGUAGAUAUCUGGAAGAACACCAGUGGCGAAAGCGUCCUGCUGGAUCCCAACUGACGCUGAAGUACGAAAGCUAGGGGAGCGAAUGGGAUUAGAUACCCCAGUAGUCCUAGCCGUAAACGAUGGGUACUAGGUGUUGGUCG
rnacentral:rRNA from 1 species